rnacentral:lncRNA from 1 species
CUCACUGUGCCUUAGAAGGCAGGAUAUAUAGCAGAUGCUCCUUGGACAGAAUUCCUUCCCUUAUUCAGCGCAUGCUUAUGAAUGCCUCCCCUGAGCCAGGCAAGCUUGAGAUGCUAGGAAUUCAGCUGUGGAAGUUCAGCUCUCAAGAAGCUCACAUCUAGGGUGCGGAGUUAGAGAAAUCAGACCGGCACAUGAUACAGAAGGGACUAGGUGCUAUGGAGAGACGUGAGCUGGGGAGGGGAUAGCCUGUGUUGGGGUGGAGGCUGCUGCUUUAGAGAGAUGAGGGAAGGCCACUGGAAUCUGAUGCUGAGCAGAGAUCAGGGAUUUUAUAUAAGGGAAGUGAGGGAGUGAGUCGUGGCCACCUGAGGAGAGCAUUCCAGGAUAAGGAAACAGCAGGUGCAAAGGCACUGCUGCAGGGAGGUGCUUGGUAUAUCCAGGGAGUGUGGAGAAGUCCCGUGUGGUGGCUGCAGAGGGAGCAGGGGGAGGAUGGUGGGAGGUGAGAAUGGAGACCUCUGAGGUAGGUCCUCGAGAGCCUUAGAGGCCACGCGAAUUGCAUGGGACCCACUGGAGGGAGCCAUUCCCAGAGCCAUGACAGGUUGGGACCUGCCUGCAAAGGACCACAUUCUGGCCGUGGGGAAGGGCAGAAGCAGGAGACCAAUUUGGAGGCUGGGACCUGGGGCCUGGGGCCUAGGACAGGCAUGGUGAGCAGUGGUCAGUUUCUGAAUCCAUUCUCAGGGUAGACACAAUAGGACUGGUGAUUGAUUGAAUAUGAGAUGUGAGACAAAGACAAAUGCCAAGGACGGCUCCAAGGGUUUUUCCUGAACAGCUGCCAGGAUGAAGUUGGCAUUUAUUUAGGUGGAGGAAGAAAGGAAGGAGCAGGUUUGGGAGCUGGAGAUAGAGAUUCGUUUUUGAAAGUGUUAAUUUGAGAUGUUCAAUUAGACACAGAGUGGAGAUGCCAAAUAGACAAUUAUACAGGAGUCUGGUGCUGAGUGUUGAGGUCUGGGAUGGAGACAUCACCCUGAGGGUCCUUGGCAUUUAAAUGCUGUUUAAAACCAGGAGGCUAGAUGAGCUCACCAAGGGAGAGGGAAGGGAUAGAAGAGGGAGAGGGUCUGAGGACUCAGCCCUGGAGCAUAGAUAAUUAACAGGCAGAUGGGGAGAAACUGGGAGAGGGGACUGAGAAGGAACAGCAGGCAAGAGAAAGAGGGCUAAGGGAGAGCCAUGACCUACAAUCAGGUCAAGAAGCAUUUCUACAGGAGAGAUUUAUGCUGCCGAUCUUCCAAUAGAUCAAGUAGCGUGGAGACCACUGAGACCCAGCCACUGGAGACCAUUAGCCUAGGGAGGUCAUUGGUGUCCUUGCCAAGCCCUGUUUUGGUUCUGGGUCCAGGAGACAGAGUGUAGUCAGAGGAGAGGAAUCACAGACAGCCCAGUGCAGACAACAGGCAACUCUUUCAAGGAGUCAUCUUAUAAAGCAACUAGAACAGUACCUGGCAGACACAAGACACGUAAUACAUAUUUUUGAAUGAGGAACUUGGCUCCAGAAGCCAUGAGAAUAACUUUGUUCCAACACAUUCAGGCUGCGGUCAGAAAGGGUGAGCUGGAAGCAGUGAGCUGGGAGAUAAUGAAACCAAAACACCAUUAUCAGGAAGCUUGAGAACAAGGCCACCUUUUAAGUAUCUAGAAAUUCCCAUUAAUUUCUUCCACACCUUGUUCCCCAUCCCACCUGAAGACUGAAGCUGAGAGGCUUUUUUCCCAGUCAUCUUGACCACAAGAUCAGUUCUCUCCGUGAACAUAAAGACAAAAUCGCUGUGACACCAACAGACAGAUUUUUUAACAAGUGGAAUCCAUGUCUCAUGUAAACAAUGUGCUACUGCCUGCCAUUGAGUUCUCUUCCCUCGUUUUCCUUUUUGAAGACUUAACCCCUUUCCCAAAGGGACAUGUGCUCAGGUUUCUUGACUCCACAGCAAUCCCUUCUGUUGUGUAAGGCAAACUGAUCACCUUUCACAACGAGACAAGAAGUGAUUUAAAUCAGAUGGUGACCCAAUGACAAUGUCUGUGCUGUGUCCUAUGGAGAAAACCAAAGCUGAAAUCCAGUAACAGGUGAUAGGAAGAUGUGGAGAUAGAAACUGACCUGAAUUCUGAAAAACAACAAGAGAAAAGGAAGUCUGAGAACAAGCUGGUGUUCUUCCAAAACCUGUUCAUUGUGUGAAUUCCUAGAAGAUAGCGUGACACCGAGAAACAGGCUGGAGUGACACACCCAAACAAUUAUGCUACCUGGAUCUGCCAAGGCAGGAGGACAAACUCAGCAGCCUGGAGAAUGGAGGACACAGUCCAGAGUUGCAACAACAGCAGCAAUUACUUUUGACCACUCACUAUCGGAAAACACUGCUUUAGGCUGUGGAAAUGCAGUAGUAGAAAAGCCAGGCAUAAUCCUUAUCCCCAUGGAGGCACUAUCUCCAUCCAAGGGCAGAGGACCUGCAAGCCCUGAGGUCUCCAGCUGAGGUUCCUCUCUGAAGGACAGUUGCACUUCAGGUCAUGCUGCAGUAUGAGAGAAGGCAGCGUGACAUCUUGAGUUUCUAAUGCUCACACCUGUCUCAGUGAAGCAUUUUUACAGAGUAAUCACCACCCCCCUCACACCCCCAACAAUGUCAUCAAGUCAUAAAUCUCCUUGGUUUGAAAUAUUGGAUUAAAAUAUGAUUAAACAAUAUGUCUCAAUGGAAAGUUAAGAUAUGUGUGCAUUCUCUAUCCUCAAACAAUCCUGGAAUGCCCCCCCCCCCACUUUAUGAUUUUUUAUGAUUUGCCUAUCAGA